CUGGAAUGAGGCUGGGUGUAAAGGGAACUAGGCCUUAACCCUCAUUGUUUCUAAGACUAUUCAUAUCAGACAUAUAACUAAUGAUUAGAGAUUGUUUUAGAUGUGAUUAAUAGAAUGCAGGUGCUUAUAAAACAAUAUGCAUAAGCUGCUCAUUUGUCCCACGUGUAGCCCUCACCGUGGCUGGCUUAAAACCCAGUGAAGCUGAAUCAACAGAAAAAGGAUCAUACAUCUUAGACCUAAGACAUAAGAAUAGGUAAGAGUAAGUGAUUAACUUUAGA